rnacentral:rRNA from 2 species
CGCGUCUAAUUUAAACGAUUACCCUGAACGGUGGAUCACUCGGCUCGU